rnacentral:rRNA from 1 species
GACGAACGCUGGCGGCGUGCUUAACACAUGCAAGUCGUACGGUAAGGCCCUUUCGGGGGUCCACGAGUGGCGAACGGGUGAGUAACACGUGAGUAACCUGCCCACAACUUUGGGAUAACGCUAGGAAACUGGUGCUAAUACUGGAUAUGUGCUCCUGCUGCAUGGUGGGGGUUGGAAAGCUCCGGCGGUUGUGGAUGGACUCGCGGCCUAUCAGCUUGUUGGUGGGGUAGUGGCCUACCAAGGCGGCGACGGGUAGCCGGCCUGGGAGGGUGACCGGCCACAGUGGGACUGGGAUACGGCCCAGACUCCGACGGGAGGCAGCAGUGGGGAAUAUUGCACAAUGGGCGCAAGCCUGAUGCAGCAACGCCGCGGGCGGGAGGACGGCCUUCGGGUUGGAAACCGAUUUCAGCAGGGACGAAGCUUUUUGUGACGGUACCUGCAGAAGAAGCACCGGCUAACUACGUG